GAUGAACGCUGGCGGCGUGCCUAAUACAUGCAAGUCGAGUGAACAGACGAGGAGCUUGCUCCUCUGACGUUAGUGGCGGACGGGUGAGUAACACGUGGAUAACCUACCUAUAAGACUGGGAUAACUUCGGGAAACCGGAGCUAAUACCGGAUAAUAUAUUGAACCGCAUGGUUCAAUAGUGAAAGACGGUUUUGCUGUCACUUAUAGAUGGAUCCGCGCCGCAUUAGCUAGUUGGUAAGGUAACGGCUUACCAAGGCAACGAUGCGUAGCCGACCUGAGAGGGUGAUCGGCCACACUGGAACUGAGACACGGUCCAGACUCCUACGGGAGGCAGCAGUAGGGAAUCUUCCGCAAUGGGCGAAAGCCUGACGGAGCAACGCCGCGUGAGUGAUGAAGGUCUUCGGAUCGUAAAACUCUGUUAUUAGGGAAGAACAAAUGUGUAAGUAACUAUGCACGUCUUGACGGUACCUAAUCAGAAAGCCACGGCUAACUACGUG
rnacentral:rRNA from 1 species